GGGGUGUCCUAGGUGCAAAAAAGUUAUGAUCAAUUCUUUUUUCAUCAUAAAUUUUUUUAAAAUCUUGAUUUUCAAACUUGGUGCCAUGAUUACUAUAAAUUUUAAGAAUUGAAAGAUCUUUUUUAUUUGAAACUUUUUGAUAAAACUUGAUAAAAACUGAAAAAGAUUCAUUCUUAUGUGCCAAAAUCAAAAUCUAUGUAAAUUAAAAAAAAAUCAUCAAUAAUAAUAAAAUCAUAUCACUUUCCACCUAAGCU
rnacentral:lncRNA from 1 species